rnacentral:lncRNA from 1 species
UUGGAUUCCUACUUUUUUUUACAGCUUGCACUCUCUCCUCACGUUUCCUCUCUCCCUCACUCUUCCUCUCUCUCACACGUUACUCUCUCUGACAAUAUACAAAAAAGGAAAACAAAAAGAAAGGAGGAGAUACUCAUGACUCUCUCUUCACUAAAAAAUAAAUUAAAAGGACAAGACAUUAGCUCUCUCUCUCUCACGGUUGAUCUUCUUCACACACACUAUUUUG